rnacentral:tRNA from 1 species
GGAAGUGGACAGGUCCUGGUGGGCCUCCUGGACUUCAAAUCCAGUGGCAGGCCGAAGAGGUCUGCGGUGGGUUCGAUUCCCAUGCACUUCCGCCA